rnacentral:misc_RNA from 1 species
GCAGCCGGCCCAGGGGAGUUGACCCGGAAGAUGAGGGCGCCGUCGACGUACCCGCAGAACGGGCCGUUGGUGACGAGGGUGAGGAUGUCCUGGAGCUUGAGAGGGGGGCAGAGGGCGUCGAUCAGAUACUGGGUGGAGAGGGUGAGCUUGUGGUUGCCUUUGGGGAGCUCUAUGUGGUACCAGAAAAACUCGCGGCCGCGGCCAUCCGCUAGA